rnacentral:lncRNA from 1 species
UAUUUGACAUUCAGUAAAUAUUAAUGAAUGAUGACUUUUCUGUGGUGAAAUGCACCCCACUUUCACUGUUCCUUUCGGAUUUGCACUUACUUGGAUACUUGUGGAUGAUUCUGAAGAGCUGGUUGUUCACAUCUGUCUCUGUUAUGUGGCAGAGAUAUUUCUCAUUUAACUUGACAGGGUAUUUCAGGAUGGAGAACACCCUGUAGAAGCCAUUCAUCUGCUCCUCCAGGAUUUCCACGAUGCUGUGGUUGCUCAGGUCCCUCUCUGUCCGGUCCAGCCAUGUCACAAUGGGCGUGAGAAAACUCAAGAUUUUCAGUGCCCUUCACAAAGGAGAAAUGACAGGAGAGGGUAACAUCAGUGAAUGGGUGGGCCCGCAGCUCCUCUGUAGACACCGAGAAUGUCAAAGAAGAAAUGAAGUUAAUAAAGACCAAUCAGCACUGCAUCAGGCUCAACAACACUGCAGUACUGGUCUUCUGGAAGAACAGUUGCCUCUGCCUUAUCAAGAAGCUGGUGAUGCAGGAAGUCAUCACCACGGGUGUUGCUUCCAUAGCCAAUCUGCACCUGCUAGAUUGCACUGGCCAAUGAAAGAAUGCGUCAUGCACUAUAACCUUUCUCCCCACUUCAAUCAGUUGCCAUUUAAUUCUUGAGAAAAUAUAUCUGAUUGGCAGACUCUAAGUCAUUCCCAGAACCCUAACUGCAAAGGAAUCUUGGAAAUAUGUUUUACUCUCCAGUUUCAGCAAUCCAGGAAUGCACAUCAGAAAGGCGGGAAAAGAUGUUCAGUGCCCUCAUCUAAUCAGUUGAAGUUCUAAAUAGAACAAAAAAGCCAACCUUCCUUCAAGUAAGAGGGAACUCCUGCUUUUACUGCUUGAGCAGUCUUUUCCUGCCUUCAGACUCAGACUAGAACUAUACCAUAGACUGUUCUGCACCUCCAGCUCGCUGACUGCAGAUCUUGGGACUUCUCAACCUCCACAAGCACAGCUGCAUGACCCAAUUUCUUCAAAAAAAAAAUCAGGCUCUCUCUCCCUCUCUCUCUACCCCCCCGCCAACCCCCUCUCUCUCUCUUUUCCAGUUUGUUCUGUUUCUCUGGAGAACUCUGACCAUAUCUGGUAACAUUUAUCAAGUAUUUACAAUGUUCUAAACAUAUUCUAGGAGCUUUUCUGGCAUUAAUUCAUUUAAUCUGAUACUAACACUGAGGCAGGUAAUUAUCCCCAAUUUACUACUGAGAAAACCAAGGCACAGUGGGUGAAGUAAGUUACUCAAGGAUACACAGCUAGUGAGCAGUAGAGCUGUCAUUCAAUGCUAGGCAGUCUGACUCCAAAGCUCUCCAACUGAAAUGUGCUCUUUUGUCUCCUAAUAGUAGGCACUGGUUCGAAGUUUGAUGAAUGAAUCAGUGACUAAUUAAAUGAAUUAAUGACUACAAGACAGGCUGGAAAGGAGGCAAAGAGAAAUAACUUGCAUAACCUUUAGAAGGAUUGAUUUGCAAGUAAAAACCUGAAGUGCUUUCUUGCUCAAAUUAUUUUUCUGAAGUGGUUAUCACCAAAAAGCAGUGUUUUAUAAUUUUUGUGGGACUUUAUUUUUGUAAAAUCCUGGUCUGACGAAUUGUAAAUCCAAGUUCUAGUUCUAAGUACCCCCUUACUAAUCAUUUGGCAUCAGGAAAGGCACUUAAUCUCUCUGAGUUAUAGCUUCCUUGUGUAUAAUUAGAAUUAUAACACCUGUCCGAGGUUUUAAUGAAAUACCAUGGGAUCUUACAGACUGUUUUUAUAUGACAUGGCUCGGUCAUUUUCCAGAAGGACAGGAGUAAAGUAGAUGAGUGGACACUUUAGUAAGCUGUUCCCCCACCCCAAUGUCUCUCACAAGAAUAUGUAGUUUACCCAUGAGUGGUCCUUGAUUCUACCUUCUCCAGUUGUACUCAGGAGUUCUUGCUACAGUUGUACCCUUUCUGGCCCAAGGGAAGGGGUCUCAAACUCAGGGAUCCAAAGGCUCUAGCCAAUGCAUCAUGAAACACAACUUCCUGCUGAUGUAACUAGUAUAAAGGACAAUUUCUAACUGAUAUGUCUGCAGAUGGCCCUGCUUGAAUCUGAGUAACUCCUUUGUCUAUUUCAAUCUGUGUUAUUUCUAAACCAUGUGUCUUUAGCUUCCCAAGCCUUAAGAGGCCGAGGCAAAAGCUCAGAAAAAGGUUAAUAAUGUGGGAAAACACUUAGAAAAAUGUAGAAAGAUACUGUCUAACGCAUCUGCCAUGGUACCUAGCACAUAGUAUUAAGUUCUUAAUAUUGCUACAAAAUGUGAGAUUAGAAUCAACAGAUCAUUCUCUUUCUUGCCUACAUACAUACCUAUUCCUUUAUUUGGUUGAGUUUUUCCUAACUAUGAGUGGAUUACCACCUUACUUUUCUUACUGCUCUCCUCUACCCGCACACACACACACACCCCCCAACACCCAGCCCCCCCGCCCUCCUCCCCACCACACACACACACACACACACACACACACACACACAGAAUAAUCAAACAUCAAGAGAAAAGAGCCAGCAAAUGUAACCUGGGUUGACCAGGCCUUGUACUAACUCCUGAGUUGAACUCUGGAGCCUGAGGAUGCCUUCAAGCUGCUGCCACCUUUAAGGGACUGACAGAACUGCUGCAGGUCUCUGGAAGAUGGCAUAAGCCUGAAGACUAUAAAUGUGUUUGAUCACUUUAUGGAGUAGUUAUACAGCCAGAUUUGGGAUACACAGUGUUUUUUUAAAAAACUUUUGCUUAUGGACUUUUGGUUAGCUGAAUCAUAUUAACAUUUCCAACAUCUGUAUAUUGUUUGUCACCAAGAGAGUUGAAGAUUUGAGUACAAAAAGACUUACAUAAACCCUUUGUUGACUGCCCAUCCAGAUUUUUCAGGACAGACCUGAUUUCAAAUAUUUUGGAUGCUACACUAUAAAUUGGCACUUGUCAGAGUCACUUGAAAGUGGGUGUCUAGUAUUGUUUUGUUUGGUUUGGUUGGGAGGUUCACACUAUAGAUACGACUGAGAUUAGUCAUUCAGAUAUGGCUUCAAAUGGACAAACCAAAUUGGGGGGGGUGGGGUGGAAGUUUUUCUCAUUUAAAAAAAGAAAGCAGAAUAAACAAUAAUGAUUUAUAAUAUGUGUCUGUUAUUUUCUCCCAUCUGCUCUUAACCAUUUCCUAUGAAGUAAAUAUAGAUUUUUAAAAUAAAUACAAUUUUUCCUGUAAAAAAUAAAUUUGUUAUUUUCAUAUAACAAAUGAAAAGAAUGAGAUUCAGAGAGAUUAUGUCGUUUAUCUCCAAACAAAUGUUUUCCUCACUAUCCCCAAAGCUAUUUCAUAAAUGCCCACAAAGUUUUUUGAAAAAUGACUCACCUGCACUGUGAAGAAGUAUGUUAACAGUCACCA